CCUUCUAAAAAUUUCUCAACUUAUGGACAAAAUAAAAAUUUCAAAUCUUAACCAGUAUUAGAUCGUCAUCUAACUAAGGUUAAUAUAACCUGAAGAGACGGAGUAUACGGUGAGAGUAUUUUUGAAAAAAAGUAUGUAUUUAGAAAGAUGAUUAUGAUAUAACAAAAUUUAUAGGGGUAUUUAUAAUAUUUCUGAAAUUUAGAGGGCUACGGAUGAAAUUAACCCUUUAAACAAAUAGUGAACAAAUUAAGGGUAAAAUGAUAAUUUUAUAUUUUAAAGUAAAAUUAAAAAAAAUGUCAAAAUGACGGAAGUUAGUGAAAAUUAACGGUGGGGGUAUUUAUGAAAAAAUAUUAUAUUUAGAGGGGCAUUUGUGAAAUUUAAAAAAUUCGAAGGGCAUUUAUGAUAUUUCAUA
rnacentral:lncRNA from 1 species